UAGGUAUGAUGGCCAACGAGCUCAGAUUUUGUGCUCUUGCAUCCCCCAUGUGGGCUGGAUGAAUCACCAUGGAAUGAACCUGGAAUUUUAACUGCUAGAAAGGAUUUAGACUACAUUGGAUGAGAAGAACUGUUGGAAGCCUUGAAGAGGCAAAAGGUUACGUUUGAAACCGGUCAAGAAGAUAGUACUGAAAUUCCGGAGGAGUUAAAGCUGAGGUUGGCAUAUAGGGAAGCAGCUGUGGCUG